rnacentral:rRNA from 1 species
GAUGAACGCUGGCGGCGUGCUUAACACAUGCAAGUCGAACGAAGCACUCUAUUUGAUUUUCUUCGGAAAUGAAGAUUUUGUGACUGAGUGGCGGACGGGUGAGUAACGCGUGGGUAACCUGCCUCAUACAGGGGGAUAACAGUUGGAAACGACUGCUAAUACCGCAUAAGCGCACAGGAUCGCAUGAUCCGGUGUGAAAAACUCCGGUGGUAUGAGAUGGACCCGCGUCUGAUUAGCCAGUUGGCAGGGUAACGGCCUACCAAAGCGACGAUCAGUAGCCGACCUGAGAGGGUGACCGGCCACAUUGGGACUGAGACACGGCCCAAACUCCUACGGGAGGCAGCAGUGGGGAAUAUUGCACAAUGGGGGAAACCCUGAUGCAGCGACGCCGCGUGAGCGAAGAAGUAUUUCGGUAUGUAAAGCUCUAUCAGCAGGGAAGAAGAAUGACGGUACC